UCUCCCUCCCUCUCUCUCCCUCUCCUUCUCUACGUUUUUAACAAAACAAAACCAAAAUGAACUGAUGGAUUUGUAAUGAUAGUUUGUUGCUGGAGAAUGCUACUUUGCAUGCUUUUUUUCUCUUGCAGGGUAUGUUCUGUUUUGUGCUUUUCCUUUUAGAAGCUACUAAAGGGUUUUGGGGAUGCUUCUGACUGUUAUGAAGGCCAAAAGGCCUGUUGACUGGGGCUGCUUUUAACCCUUUCAUAUUUGCAGAGAAUGCAACCGUGUGACAGUAACUGAACAUUGGUCCAAAAUCUUUCCAAAAGGUCAAGGUUCACAAGGAAACCAGCAGUUCCAGAAUCAAGUCCAAGAUGAUCGCAGCAACGGAUAGAACUAGUUCUGUCUUCUGGUUUGGUAAAAGUACAGUCAAGAGGAGCCCAUAGAAGACACGAUUGAAAACAAAUUUCUCCCCUACUCUGUGGGAGGGUAUUUUGUUCCUCUUUGCAUUCAGCAGAACAGUCUUUUCAGAAGUGCCGAGGGUCUUAGAAUGGGUUGUGUGCUGGCAGUUGGUGGGCAGAAUAUCUGCAGUGAAGGGUGUCAAAUAUGCAAGGGUUUUAUUGUUGAAAUUUUUUUCAUAUGAUUUCAGAGCAUCCAGCGUGUGCUAAAACUGGCAAAAGAGAAACAACAGGGCAUGGUUAGCUCAGAGUACUUUGUGUGGUAUUUAAUAGAGAUAAAUGCAAUCUCGGACUGAGAGACCAGUAAAUAGCUCAUGUGAUGGAACAAAAUUCUUGACAAAUCACUGUGCGAAAAUUGGUUUUCAAUUCUACAACAUUUUUGACUGCCAGAGGUUCUGUGUCUGAAUGUGGCAGAAAUCUGCUUGCAAAGCAGAUCCCAAUCCACGUUGCAUGAUAUGCUGUUCCUGCUUUUCUGGUGCCAACUAAAACUCAGAUGGCUAAUGUGAUAAACCUUAAUUAGCUUAAUACUACAAUGAGCUGUUUUAUAAUUGAGUCCUUCACUCCUGUCUUUAGAAAGUCAGUGAUUUUUAUUUAACUUUGACAGCUAACCCCUUGCAGUGACUGUUUCUUGAUAGGAUGUUUAAAAGCCCUUUUUGUAAGGCGUGGCGUGUCCCAGAACGUUCUGGUUUACUCUCUGUGGUUUUUAGAUUUGUUACUCCCCCUCCCCCCAGAAGGCGCCUGGAAAAUAGCAUUUGCUUUGC